UACGUAGGGUGCGAGCGUUAAUCGGAAUUACUGGGCGUAAAGCGUGCGCAGGCGGUUCUGAAAGUCAGCUGUGAAAGCCCCGGGCUUAACCUGGGAAUUGCGGUUGAAACUACAGGGCUAGAAUCUGGCAGAGGGGGGUGGAAUUCCACGUGUAGCAGUGAAAUGCGUAGAGAUGUGGAGGAACACCGAUGGCGAAGGCAAUCCCCUGGGCCUGCACUGACGCUCAUGCACGAAAGCGUGGGGAGCAAACAGG
rnacentral:rRNA from 1 species